GGUGAAAUAGUUUAAAAAAACCUAAGAUUGCAAAUCUUAAAUUAUAGAACUUUUCUAUUUUCACUU
rnacentral:tRNA from 1 species